rnacentral:rRNA from 1 species
CUUGAACGCUGGCGGCAGGCCUAACACAUGCAAGUCGAACGAGUGGCGGACGGGUGAGUAAUGUCUGGGAAACUGCCCGAUGGAGGGGGAUAACUACUGGAAACGGUAGCUAAUACCGCAUACCAUCGGAUGUGCCCAGAGGGGAUUAGCUAGUAGGUGGGGUAACGGCUCACCUAGGCGACGAUCCCUAGCUGGUCUGAGAGGAUGACCAGCCACGCUGGAACUGAGACACGGUCCAGCCUCCUACGGGCGGCAGCGGUGGGGAAUAUUGAACAAUGGGCACAAGCCUGAGGCAGACAUGACGGGUGUAUGACGAAGGCCUUCGGGUUGUAAAGUACUUUCAGCGAGGAGUCGUUACUCGCAGAAGAAGCACCGGCUAACUCCGUGCCAGCAGCCGCGGUAAUAC